rnacentral:rRNA from 1 species
UACGGAGGGUGCGAGCGUUGUCCGGAAUUAUUGGGCGUAAAGGGCGCGUAGGCGGCCCGGUAAGUCAAAGGUGAAAUCCCUCGGCUCAACUGAGGAACUGCCUUUGAAACUGUCGGGCUUGAGGCCGGGAGGGGGUAGCGGAAUUCCCAGUGUAGCGGUGAAAUGCGUAGAUACUGGGAGGAACACCAGUGGCGAAGGCGACUUCCUGGCCUGUUCUUGACGCUGAGGCGCGAAAGCUAGGGUAGCAAACGGG